rnacentral:tRNA from 1 species
UGGGGCGUAGCCAAGCGGUAAGGCAGCGGCCUUUGGAGCCGCGAGCGUUGGUUCGAGUCCAACCGCCCCAACCA